CAGAGGCUGGAAUCUGGAGCAAAGAAGCUGCUGGAGGAAGUCAAAUAUAAUGGCUUAACAGCUCCUAGCUGGCUCAUCACGUUUUCAUAAGAUCAAUUGAAAGAUUGGAGAAAUACAUAUAAACGUACGUGCAAAAGAAUUUCAGCCGUG